rnacentral:rRNA from 1 species
GACGAACGCUGGCGGCGUGCUUAACACAUGCAAGUCGAACGGAAAGGCCCUGCUUUUGUGGGGUGCUCGAGUGGCGAACGGGUGAGUAACACGUGAGUAACCUGCCCUUGACUUUGGGAUAACUUCAGGAAACUGGGGCUAAUACCGGAUAGGAGCUCCUGCUGCAUGGUGGGGGUUGGAAAGUUUCGGCGGUUGGGGAUGGACUCGCGGCUUAUCAGCUUGUUGGUGGGGUAGUGGCUUACCAAGGCUUUGACGGGUAGCCGGCCUGAGAGGGUGACCGGCCACAUUGGGACUGAGAUACGGCCCAGACUCCUACGGGAGGAAGCAGUGGGGAAUAUUGCACAAUGGGCGGAAGCCUGAUGCAGAAACGCCGCGUGCGGGAUGACGGCCUUCGGGUUGUAAACCGCUUUCGCCUGUGACGAAGCGUGAGUGACGGUAAUGGGUAAAGAAGCACCGGCUAACUACGU